rnacentral:rRNA from 1 species
AUGUGCUGUGAGCUCGAUGAGUAGGGCGGGACACGUGGUAUCCUGUCUGAAUAUGGGGGGACCAUCCUCCAAGGCUAAAUACUCCUGACUGACCGAUAGUGAACCAGUACCGUGAGGGAAAGGCGAAAAGAACCCCGGCGAGGGGAGUGAAAAAGAACCUGAAACCGUGUACGUACAAGCAGUGGGAGCACAGGUUUACCUGUGUGACUGCGUACCUUUUGUAUAAUGGGUCAGCGACUUAUAUUCUGUAGCAAGGUUAACCGUAUAGGGGAGCCGUAGGGAAACCGAGUCUUAACCGGGCGUUAAGUUGCAGGGUAUAGACCCGAAACCCGGUGAUCUAGCCAUGGGCAGGUUGAAGGUUGGGUAACACUAACUGGAGGACCGAACCGACUAAUGUUGAAAAAUUAGCGGAUGACCUGUGGCUGGGGGUGAAAGGCCAAUCAAACCGGGAGAUAGCUGGUUCUCCCCGAAAGCUAUUUAGGUAGCGCCUCGUGAAUUCAUCUCCGGGGGUAGAGCACUGUUUCGGCUAGGGGGCCAUCCCG